AUUGAACGCUGGCGGCAGGCCUAACACAUGCAAGUCGAACGGUAACAGGAAGCAGCUUGCUGCUUCGCUGACGAGUGGCGGACGGGUGAGUAAUGUCUGGGAAACUGCCCGAUGGAGGGGGAUAACUACUGGAAACGGUAGCUAAUACCGCAUAAUGUCGCAAGACCAAAGAGGGGGACCUUCGGGCCUCUUGCCAUCGGAUGUGCCCAGAUGGGAUUAGCUUGUUGGUGAGGUAACGGCUCACCAAGGCGACGAUCCCUAGCUGGUCUGAGAGGAUGACCAGCCACACUGGAACUGAGACACGGUCCAGACUCCUACGGGAGGCAGCAGUGGGGAAUAUUGCACAAUGGGCGCAAGCCUGAUGCAGCCAUGCCGCGUGUAUGAAGAAGGCCUUCGGGUUGUAAAGUACUUUCAGCGGGGAGGAAGGGGUUAAGGUUAAUAACCUUAGCCAUUGACGUUACCCGCAGAAGAAGCACCGGCUAACUCCGUGCCAGCCGCCGCAGUAA
rnacentral:rRNA from 1 species